GAGUCACAAUAGGUGGGUUUGGUAGAGAUUUUAGGAGCUUAAAAUGAAUUCUCUAUCUAGUUAAAGUAUUUUUUUGUGUUUAGUAAAAACUUUAAAAAGUACUUUUUAAAAAAUUUGUGUGGAAUUUGGGCAGUGCUUCUGAUUCUGGAUUGUGCGGGAAUCCAUUGCCAUAUUCAAUGAAUUGUUUUUAUUUCUCAAAUUAACCCUGCUGAAUGUAAGAAAUCUCCAUCCCAAUUUUCACCCCUUCGCACUCUCCUCUCUCUUGCUCUUCACGAGCUCUCCCUUAGGCAAAGCACUCUCUUUCUGUUUCUCUCUUCUCACUCUGUUAUCUAGGACUCCCCUCUCUCCGUUUCUGAGUUGUUCCUGCAUUUUUCGGCGAGGCAGAGUCUCUACUCUCUAUGUGUUCUUUCGGUGAGACUGGGUUUGUUCUUGUUAGGGUUACCUGAUUUCGGGCCAGUUGGACACCGUCAGAUUGCCGGUUGCAGCUCAUCAGAUCAAUAGCCUCUACGGUGUAAAUGAUGACCGGCUCCUGCUUGAGUUGGUCAGAGGAAGAAGGAAACGACGUCAUUGUUGUGUGGGCGUGGGUGUGGGUUUGGCGGGUACCUUCGAUUUGCUGAUGUUCCUUUUCACUUGGAUUUCUAUCUUGUUUAUCCAGAUUCUGGUGUAAAAGGCAAGCUUGUUGCCCUUAUGUUGUGUUGAAUUUGCAUCAUUAUGCAGAAUUUGGAUGCUUUUGUUUCUUCUUCUUCUUGAAAGUAGAACUGGCACAAUAACCUUUCACCCUUCUUUAAAGAGUAAACGCAAGAGAACUAAUGUAGGUGAAACUAGCAACCAGAAUUUCAUGUAAAUGGCGAAGUACAACGGUUGAAUUCUGAUCUCUAGAAGCAUCUAUGCAUCAGGGGCAAGAGCAGCAAAUGCCUUCAUUUAAUCUCCCAUCUAAAUUUCUUUGUAAAGUUUUUAAUGUUCAGCUUCGGGCUGAAAUGGAAACAGAUGAAGA